GUCCUAGCCUAACGAUGGAUGCUUGGUGUGGCGGGUACCCAAUCCCGCCGUGCCGGAGCUAACGCAGUAAGCAUCCCGCCUGGGAGUACGGUCGCAAGGCUGAACUCAAGGAAUUGACGGGCCCGCACAAGCGGUGGAGCAUGUGGUUCAAUUCGACGCAACGCGAAGAACCUUACCUGGGCUCGAAGCGUAGUGGACCGGGUGGAAACACUCCUUUCCGCAAGGACUGCUACGUAGGUGCUGCAUGGCUGUCGU
rnacentral:rRNA from 1 species